GGGGGUUGAAAUGGUAGCUGCUUAAGGCCUGUGGACCUUUGGCAGGGCUGUAAAAAUACAAAUAAUAAUAAAAGGAGAGAGACAUUGUGACCCAGGCAGCAGUGGUAUGCCUGUGCAUGCAAGUCCAUCCGGGGUCUGACUAACUGUCUCACAAUGUCCACAUGGAACUUGUAAAGAUUUGCAAUAAUCCUUUAUUGAAACAAAACAGAGAACUUUACAGAUAGAAAUGGCUCAUACAGCAGGACCUUGGGAGGGGAGACAAGCCAAUGCAUAACUCUAUAUGGAGGUGCUGCUGCCUGUUCUCCUCAGGGAAUCCUCACUGGUGAACUGAGGAUCCUGCUUGCUUGCAGGCUGCAGCUUCAAUUCUCUCAUGGGCGAAGCAAGGGACUGGAACUUGG
ensembl:lncRNA